rnacentral:snRNA from 1 species
GAUCUUUCGUCGGGGCAUAGUGUGAACUGAAAAUAUACAGAGAAGAUUAGCAUGGCCCCUGCACUAAGGAUGACACGCAUAAUCAAAGAGAAGAUACCUAUUUUU